UACGGGGGGAGCAAGCGUUGUUCGGAAUUACUGGGCGUAAAGGGCUCGUAGGUGGCCAACUAAGUCGGACGUGAAAUCCCUCGGCUUAACCGGGGAACUGCGUCUGAUACUGGAUGGCUUGAGAUUGGGAGAGGGAUGCGGAAUUCCAGGUGUAGCGGUGAAAUGCGUAGAUAUCUGGAGGAACACCGGUGGCGAAGGCGGCAUCCUGGACCAACACUGACGCUGAGGAGCGAAAGCCAGGGGAGCAAACGGG
rnacentral:rRNA from 1 species